rnacentral:rRNA from 1 species
ACUAAAAACUUAGCUCUACCUAAACUUAUGAAGAACAAAAAUUUUUAUAAAGAUUACAUAAAACAUUUUCCAAAUUUAGUAAAGGCGAUUAAAAAAUUUUCUGAAGCUAUAAAAAUAGUACCGAAAGGGAAAAGUGAAAUAAAACUGAAAUAAAUUUUAAGUAAAAAAAAGUAGAGAUUUAUCUCGUACCUUUUGCAUCAUGGUUUAACUAGUCUAAUUUAAGCAAAAUGAUUUACAGUUUUACUUCCCGAAACUAAGUGAGCUACUUCAGGGCAGCUUAAUGAGCUAACCCGUCUCUGUUGCAAAAGAGUGGGAUGACCCUUAAGUAGAGGUGAUAGGCCAAACGAACUUAGUGAUAGCUGGUUACUCAAGAAAAAGAUUUUAGUCUAACCUAAAGUUAUAUUUGAUUAUACAAAAUGAAAUACUUUAGAGCAAUUCAAAUAAGGUACAGCCUAUUUGAAACAGGAUACAACCUCAACCACUGGAUAAUAAAUUUUUACAUAACCAAGUUGGCCUAAAAGCAGCCACCUUCAAGAUAGCGUCAAAGCUCUAUUAUUUUUACAUGAAAUACCUUGUAUUAUAAUUAAUCCUUCAACCAUAUUGAGUAAUUCUAUAUUCCUAUAGAAACUAUUAUGUUAAAACUAGUAACAAGAAGAAGACCUUCUCUUUAAUAUAAGUGUAAAUCAGAAAGGACAAACCACUGAUAGUUAACACAUAUGAACAAACAUUAGCAACUCUACUAGAAAACCCUUAUGUUAUUUAUGUUAACCUAACACAAGAACAUUACAAGAAAGAUUAAAAGAAAAAGAAGGAACUCGGCAAACAUUAACCUCGCCUGUUUACCAAAAACAUCGCCUCUUGAUAAAAUUAUAAGAGGUCCAGCCUGCCCAGUGACCACCUGUUCAACGGCCGCGGUAUCCUAACCGUGCGAAGGUAGCGUAAUCACUUGUUCUUUAAAUAAGGACUAGUAUGAAUGGCACCACGAAGGUUACACUGUCUCCUUUUUUUAAUCAGUGAAACUAAUCUUCCCGUGAAGAAGCGGGAAUAAAAUUAUAAGACGAGAAGACCCUAUGGAGCUUUAAACUAUAUAUCAAUUGCUAUCUUAUUUCUUAAUUUCUGAAUUCUAAUAUCUACCCUAGCUUUAUGAAUAUAAGUUUUAGGUUGGGGUGACCGCGGAGUAAAAAACAACCUCCACAUUGAACGGGAUUUAUUUUUAACCCUGAACAACAAACUACAAUUUUAUGUACCAAUAAAAUGACAUCAAUUGACCCAAUAUUUUGAUCAACGAACCAAGUUACCCUAGGGAUAACAGCGCAAUCUACUUCAAGAGCCCCUAUCGACAAGUAGGUUUACGACCUCGAUGUUGGAUCAGGGUAUCCCAGUGGUGCAGCCGCUACUAAAGGUUCGUUUGUUCAACGAUUAAAACCCU